GACGAACGCUGGCGGCGUGCUUAACACAUGCAAGUCGAACGGAAAGGCCCUGCUUUUGUUGGUUGCUCGAUUGGCGAACGGGUGAGUAACACGUGAGUAACCUGCCCUUGACUUUGUGAUAACUUCAGGAAACUGGGGCUAAUACCGGAUAUGAUCUCCUGCUGCAUGUUGGGGGUUGGAAAGUUUCGGCGGUUGUGGAUGUACUCGCGGGUUAUCAGCUUGUUGGUGUGGUAGGUGCUUACCAAGGCUUUGACGGGUAGCCGGCCUGGGAGGGUGACCGGCCACAUUGGGACUGAGAUACGGCCCAGACUGCUACGGGAGGCAGCAGUGGGGAAUAUUGCACAAUGGGGGGAAGCCUGAUGCAGCAACGCCCGGUGCGGGAUGACGGCCUUCGGGGUGUAAACCGCUUUCGCAUGUGACGAAGAGUGAGUGACGGUAAUGGGUAAAGAAGCACCGGCUAACUACGUG
rnacentral:rRNA from 1 species